rnacentral:rRNA from 1 species
GUCUUUUUGGUUAUUUAAUAUAAAGUCUGACCUGCCCACUGAAUUAUAUUUUGAAGGGCCGCAGUAUUUUGACUGUGCAAAGGUAGCAUAAUCAUUAGUCUUUUAAUUGAAGGCUGGUAUGAAUGGUUGGAUGAGGUACAAGCUGUGUCAUAAAAAUUAAUAUUUGAAUUUAACUUUUUAGUCAAAAGGCUAAAAUUUAAUUAAAAGACGAGAAGACCCUAUAGAGCUUUAUAUAAUGAUUAUUUAAUUUAUUAAGAUUUAUUAAAUUUAAUUACUUUAUUAUAUUUUGUUGGGGUGACAAUAAAAUUUAUAAAACUUUUAUUUUUAUUUUACAUUUAUUUAUGAGUACAUGAUCCAGUUUUAUUGAUUAUAAAUUUAAGUUACCUUAGGGAUAACAGCGUAAUUUUUUUUGAGAGUUCAUAUCGACAAAAAAGAUUGCGACCUCGAUGUUGGAUUAAGAGUAAUUUUGGGUGUAGAAGUUCAAAGUUUAAGUCUGUUCGACUUUUAAAUUCUUACG